rnacentral:rRNA from 1 species
GUGACAAUUUAAACGGCCGCGGUAUUUUGACCGUGCGAAGGUAGCGCAAUCACUUGUCUCUUAAAUGAAGACCUGUAUGAAUGGUAGAACGAGGGCUUAACUGUCUCCCUUUUUAAGUCAAUGAAAUUGAUCUGCCCGUGCAGAAGCGGGCAUAAUAAUACAAGACGAGAAGACCCUUUGGAGCUUAAGGCCCCAGAUCAACUAUGUCAAGAACUUUAACCAAGUUAAACCAAAUAGCACCUGAUCUUAGCCUUCAGUUGGGGCGACCGUGGGAGAAAACAAAGCUCCCAUGAGGACUGGACCCACCUCCAGAACCAAGAAAAACAUUUCUAAGUCACAGAACCUCUGACCAUAAUGAUCCGGCCACCAGCCGAUCAACGAACCUAGUUACCCUAGGGAUAACAGCGCAAUCCCCUUUCAGAGUCCAUAUCGACAAGGGGGUUUACGACCUCGAUGUUGGAUCAGGACAUCCUAAUGGUGCAGCCGCUAUUAAGGGUUCGUUUGUUCAACGAUUAAAGUCCUACGUG